AAACCGGGGGAGGGAGAGAGAGAGAGAGAGAGGAAGGGUGAGGGAGUUGGUUUUUUUGCUUGGCAAUUCCAGCUAAAGAAUCGUAAUUUACAAUUUAUGAAUUUUGAGUUAACUCAACAGAGAUCGAACCCUGCUUCUGCAGGAGAUCGGUGAUUUUGAUUUGUUUCUAAGAACAGCAGUUCCUUUUUUGUUCGUUGUUUCCUUCUAUUUCUCCAGAAUUUCGAGUGGGUUUCCUUCUAAAUUUCGAUUUGGGGGUGGGUUUUGAUUCUAAUCCCUUGAUCGGGUGGGAUUGCAAGUGUUUUUGGGAAAACCCGUUAUUGGGUUUUUGUGGGUUUUUGGUUUUAUGAGAUGGGUUGGUUGAAGAUUUGGGCUUGGAUGUUGGUGAGGGCAACGGCGGCUUGGUUCUGAGGUAGCUGCGCAAGGGAUGCGAGGAAGGAAAUAGCGGUAGGCGGUGCCAGGAGAGACAUGGAAGAUACUGAGCUUGAAGAGGGAGAAGCUUGUUCAUAUCAGAACAAUGAAGAUUUUGAUUCAAAUAUGGACCCUGAUGUUGCUCUCUCCUACAUAGAUGCAAAACUUCAACAUGUUUUGGGGCACUUUCAGAAAGAUUUUGAAGGUGGAGUCUCUGCUGAAAAUUUGGGAGCAAAAUUUGGGGGAUAUGGUUCGUUUUUACCUUCUUAUCAACGGUCUCCGGUUGUUCCUCUUUCAAGGACUCCGCCGAAAGGUCAUAAUUGCAGUACAUCCAGAUCUCCCAAUAAUUUUCAGGAGGUUGGCCAUAAUAACUCUGUGGUUUCUUCAACUACACCUCAGUCGAUUAGACCUGGUCCUCCUUCUACUAGUUCUACGUCACUACCCAUAAUCGAAGCACCAAAUCUGAAUGAAUCAUCCAGACAAGAAGCAUGCAUGUCUUUCCCGUAUGUUGAAGAACGUGGUUCUGGAUAUGGAUGUGUGAACAAUAAGUCCACUACUUCUUCAGAUCAAAAAUCACUGAAGGUGCGAAUUAAAAUGGGUUCUGAUAACCUGUCGACAAGAAAAAACGAUGCGAUCUAUAGUGGUCUUGGCCUAGAUGUUUCACCAUCUUCGUCGUUAGACGACAGCCCCUCAGAAAGUGAAGGGAUCUCUCGUGAGCUUCAAGAUGGCCCGUUUGGAUCUCCAACGAGCAUUCUUCAGAUGAUGACAUCGUUUCCAGUUCAGGGAGGUCUCUUGCUAUCACCUCUUCCCGAUGAUCUUAUUCACCUGACUCGAACGGGGAAGCCUGGAAGAGAUAAAAAAACUACUCGUGUCCAACAGUACAAUCAAGACCCUCCCUUAGCAGGGUUGCCUUCGUUGAAAGGGGGUCAAAUGAUAGUUGAGAAGAAAAUGUCGAAAGAUAUAAAUGACUUCGUGUCCGAAUCAAAGAACACAAAUAGGAGGGAUUUUCUGAAUGGCUCAAUUAUGUCAAAAAAGACGUCAGAAAUCGAUACAGUAGCUUGUGAGGAGCUUGUUUCUAAUGCGUUAAAGCUUCCGCUUCUAGGAAAUUCAUAUGCCAUAUCAGUUGAUACUACGAAAAGUACGAACAGGGCAUCUGAAAUGUUAAUGGAGGCAGAUAAAGUUAUGGCAAGGGACAGACAUCUUUGUGAUCAACUGGAAGAGGGUCCAGCAGUAGAGCCUCCGUUUACUACGGAGGAUGAGAAGCAAACGAAUGGUUCAUCUGGAAAGGUUAGGGAGCCAAAAAAAUCCAAUAAGUUUGACGAUAUUUCGGUUUCUGCAAAAAAAUCUGGAGAAAGCAAGAGGGAGAAAACAAUUGACUCGAUCGAGGCUGCCUCAAAAGGAAAGAAUGCUUCGAAUGGUGAUCAAAUUGAUCCUCUCAAGCAGAAUUUGAAUCAUAAAACUACUACUCAUGCACAUAGCAACACGAAGCAUGUUUCGGGAAAGGAUAAUUUAAUCCCCGAGGGCAAAAAGAAGGCAAAGUUUAGUCAAACAGAUUGUAUCCCCAAUGGAGAGGUAUCAAAACGUAGUGCGAAGUCUGGCUCUUCAGGUUCAAAAACAAAGAGUACUAGUAAAGAUGACAACAUUUCAACCAGACCGGAAGUUGAAGAUCCUAAGCUGCAGAACUCUAGAAAAACGAAAGAUAGAUACCGAGAUUUCUUUGGGGAACUGGAAGAAGAUGAUAAUCUAUUAGAUUCAUCAGAGAUUCCUUUUGAGGAUCAACUAAAUCACUCUGAUGAAAAGCCAACACAUAAUAUUCCUGCAUCGAAGGAGAGAUUAUUUGUUGAGAAAAUUGGCAAGCCUUUGGUAUCAAAAGCGUUUCCGGAAGUAGUCAUGAAUCCUUCCGGUGGGACGAUAAAGGAUGCGGCUCCUGCUGCAGUGGACAAUGUAGCUCCACAAGACAACUGGGUUUGUUGUGACCGGUGUCAAAAAUGGCGGCUUCUUCCAUUAGGUACAAAUCCUUUCAGCCUACCCGAGAAGUGGAUCUGCAGCAUGCUCGAUUGGCUUCCUGGAAUGAACCAAUGUAUGUUUAGUGAGGAGGAAACGACGAAAGCUCUAAUAGCCAAGUUCCAAGCACCGGCUGCUCCUGAGGGUAAUAUUUACAGUAAUCUUAGUGGCGUUAUGCCGGGAGGGGUUAAUGCUCGACCAUCUGGGCAAAAUCACCGUCAUUAUGAUUUUAAUGCUCCGCCUGGCAGUGGAAAAAAGAAACACGGAUCAAAAGAAAGACCAUGUAUAACACUUAAAGGGGAUGCACCUCAGCUAUCAAACUCAAAGAAGCAUGAAGGAGCAAUGAAAAGCAAAAGUUUAGAUGAUGUGAACCAGUUGCCUUUCAGAGAUGAAGCUAACUUUUGUUUAAACAAGUCGGGUGAUGUUCCUGUUGAGAAGCACAAGCAUAAGUAUAAAGAGAAGCAGGAAUCUGUCGAUAUCUUAUCCGAUGAAGGUGCUACCAAGAUUUUAAAGACUAAAAACAGAAAAGAGAAAGAACCAGAUUGUCCUAGACCUUCAAAGAAAGUUAGAACCGAUGGCUUGGAACUGACCGAUGAAGAGCAGAUAUCGGGGCACAGUGGGCCUAUUGUGAAAGCUGGCCCAAGCUUGAGCAUUGACUUUCCUUCUGCAUCAGGUGGAACUAAUAAGUCUAAAAAUACGGACCAUUCGUCUAAGGACUGGAAAUAUAACACAAAUGUUAUCGAACGAGUACCGAACGAUAAAAGAGAAAACAAACAGCUGGGAGUCGUGGAUGAUGAUUCCCUGGGAGGAGGAAAUGGUAGUACCAAAAGCAAUUCAAAGAAGAGAAAAGUGAAAGCGUCCCCAGAUAUUCAAACUAAGACUGGGUCGCUCAAUGGUUCUGGCCAUCUCCUGCAGAAUAGAGGUACUGUUACCGAGCUCAGUGAUAACGACCGUAGGAAGGAGAAAAAGGCAAAGCUAUCUAAGCCUCCAGGUAAAGAAUCCAGUGGUAGAAAAGAGAAAAAAGGUUAUUCUAAGAAUUGGCCUCAUGGACAAGAUGUAGGGAGCACUCUUUCUCAUCGAAGUUUGGAUGGCACCGAUUCUUUGAAAAGGGAUUUAGGAGUGAUACAACCUUCUCUAGUGGCGACUUCAAGUUCUUCUAAGAUAUCGGGUUCACAUAAAACGAAAUCCAGUUUUCAGGAUAUCAAAGGAUCGCCAGUAGAAUCUGUUUCUUCAUCACCUAUGAGAAUACCUAACCGAGAUAAGAUUGCACUGCCGUCAAGGGAAAGUAAGGAUUUUCUGGAUGGUGGUCAUAUGAGGUGCUCCGAUGGGGAGGAAGAGGACGGUGGUAGUGAUCACUCUGGGGCUGGUAGCAAGAAAAAGUCUGUUGUGGCUCAUCGUAGGUCUUUAAAGUCCCCCUUGAUCAAUACCGUAAACAAAGAUGUUACUAAUAUUUCAGGGAAAAAAGCUAAAGCAAAAGGGAAGUCUUCCUCUGAUGUCCCUGGCAAUUCAGGAAUUGAUCAUCAGCAUCCUUGCAAACCAUGGACCGAACAAGUUCAGAAUGAAGAUAAACCAAAUGAAAUGCGAUAUAGGGGCAGCGAGCCAUAUCCAGACAAAAGCGGAAAGGAUUUAUCUUCACAGUCGAAGGACAAAAGUCGGAGCUAUGGUUUGGACGUUGGCAUGGAUAAGGACAGGGUUCCUUAUUCCCAUGAUGAUUUGAAGGUUAAGAAUGGUAAGCACAAGUUACAGGACAACUCUAGGAUAAAAUCUGGAGAUGCUAGGAAGGACAGUUCGGGUAAACUGUCUGUUGAGUUCGGUAAAAGAGAAAGUGAAUUAAAUUUUGUCAAGCAUGAAGGUCCAUAUUCUACAGUGGAUAGCAAUUCCGGGAAGAAUCAGCAGCAUGAUUGCAAUGGUACCGCUUCAAAGAGGUCCCUUUUUCAGAAAAACGAUCAACUUGAAAAAGUCUCCGGAAAAAGUACACUGGCACCAUUACCAAACUCGGGAGAACUUCGAAAUCAGACGCUGCAUUGCCCCCCUUCAGCAGGGAGUAGAAAAGGAAAUGUGACCGAUAUUUUGCGAGUAGAUGCUUCUGAAAGCAAUGCUGUGUCAAACGGGAAAAAGCAUGUUAAGAAUCGUCAAAAGGAAGCUCAGACCAAUGGUUCAAGGCAUUCCACUCCCGACGAGCGGGUACCCAUUGAUGCACCAAGUCCAGCCAGAAGGGACUCCAACCAGGCUGCUACCAAAGCUAUGAAAGAAGCUAAAGAUUUAAAACAUCUUGCCGAUCGUUUUAAGAAUUCUGGGUCCCAUCUCGAAUCUAUCGGGUUUUAUUUCCAAGCAUCCCUUAAGUUUCUUCAUGGAGCCUCCUUGCUCGAGUCGUCCAACAAUGAGACUUCCAAACAGUCGAUGCAAAUAUACAGUAGCACUGCAAAACUAUGCGAGUUUUGUGCUCAUGAAUAUGAGAAAAUGAAGGACAUGGCUGCAGCUACUUUGGCAUACAAAUGUGUGGAAGUCGCUUACAUGAGGGUGAUUUAUUCUUCACAUAACAGUGCAAUCCGAGACCAGCACGACCUGCAGCGAGCUCUGCAAAUGGGUCCCUCUGGGGAAUCUCCUUCAUCUGCCUCUGAUGUUGAUAACUUAAAUAACCCAGCUGGAACCGACAAAGCCACUCUUUCUAAGGGCGUCAGCUCGAGCCGAGCUACUGGAUCCCAUGUCAUUCCUGCUAAAAGCCGUCCCAAUUUUGUACGGUUGCUUAAUUAUGCACAGGAUGUAAAUUUUGCCAUGGAAGCAUCGAGGAAAUCACGAAUUGCUUUCGCAGCUGCAAAUGCAAGCUCGGGAGGGACAACAACCAAUAAGGAGGGUAUCUCUUGCAUCAAAAUGGCCCUUGAUUUUAACUUUCAAGAUGUUGAAAGCCUGCUGACUCUAGUACGGGUUGCGAUGGAGGCAAUUAACCGUUGAAAAAACCGAGUGAUUAUAGAAAUGAAUUUCGACUUCGGGACUUGUCUGGUUGGUAUGUUGCUUUGAGAAGCGUUGAUGAGGAAAGGAGAAGAGACCGCCCUCCAUUACACGAAAACCCCGUUGAUAGCCUGAUGAUUACUGCUUUUAGUGAAUCUCUCUGUACAUUGUCCUGCUGCUUCGCCAUUCAUUUUGCUUGAUUUGCACAGAGGCUUCUGUAUAUGAAGGUUCUUUUGAGUUCUUAUGCUUGAGCUCGUAGGGGCUUCAAUUUGUCUGCCCCAUCGGUGACACCUUACCAUCGCAUGUCGUUCUCGAACUUGGGUCGUGCUAAUCCAAAGGACGAGACAUGUAAAAUUUGACGAUCGUCGUAAACCUUCUGCAAUUUGUGUUCGAACGCCACCGAAGGGGGUGACAAAAGGUUUUGUUUAUAUUUUUUAGUUUUUUUCCUGUUAUAUUAUGGGACGGAACAAAUAAAUAAUACGACAAAUUGUAAUAAUAACAUCAAGUACAUGCUUGUAGCUCCCGGCACCGAGGUCGUUCGAGUUAAUUUACUCCAGUUCUGUAUAUAUCCUUGCACAAGUCAUUGAACUCGGUUAGUAUAGAUUAAAGAAGGCUCGACGUUUUUUUCUA